CAUAAUCAUUUGCCUUCUAAUUAAAGGAUAGUAUGAAUGGAAAAACGAAAUUUUAACUUUAUUGUUAUUAAAAAUAAAACUUAAAAUUCAGGUGAAGAUGCCUGAAUACAAUUGAAAGACAAGAAGACCCCGUAGAAUUUAAGUUAUCCAGACCGACCGCCGUCCUCAAACUUUUGUUGGGGCGACAAAGGAUUAAACAAAACAUCCUUCAAUACAAAGACAUAUCCUUCUCCUCCAAGAUCCUAAACAAAGAUACGCAAAACAAACUACCUCGGGGAUAACAGGCUAAUCUUCUCUCAGAGUCCAUAUCGACGAGAAGGUUUGGCACCUCGAUGUUGGCUUAGAGACACCUCUUACUGCAACAAGUAAAAAGGUUAGUUUGUUCAACUAAUAAUCCUCU
rnacentral:rRNA from 1 species